UACGGAGGGUGCAAGCGUCAUCCGGAUUUACUGGGUUUAAAGGGUGCGUAGGUGGAUUUGUAAGUCAGUGGUGAAAUCUCCGAGCUUAACUCGGAAACUGCCAUUGAUACUAUAAGUCUUGAAUUAUCUGGAGGUAAGCGGAAUAUGUCAAGUAGCGGUGAAAUGCUUAGAUAUGACAUAGAACACCAAUUGCGAAGGCAGCUUACUACGGAUUGAUUGACACUGAGGCACGAAAGCGUGGGGAUCAAACAGG
rnacentral:rRNA from 1 species